GAUGAACGCUGGCGGCGUGCUUUAUGCAUGCAAGUCGAACGAGAAGGGGAGGGCUUCGGCCCGACCUGGAGAGUGGCGAACGGGUGAGUAACACGUGAGUGACCUGCCCCGAGGUGGGGGACAACCGUGGGAAACCACGGCUAAUACCCCGUAGUCCUGUGCGCACUGGUCGCGUACAGGUAUAGCUCCGGCGCCUCGGGAGGGGCUCGCGGUCGAUUAGCUAGUUGGUGGGGUAACGGCCUACCAAGGCGACGAUCGAUAGCUGGUCUGAGAGGACGAUCAGCCACACUGGGACUGAGAUACGGCCCAGACUCCUACGGGGGGCAGCAGCAAGGAAUAUUGGACAAUGGGCGCAAGCCUGAUCCAGCAACGCCGCGUGGAGGAAGAAGGCCUUCGGGUUGUAAACUCCUUUUGUGAGGGAUGAGACAAGGACAGUACCUCACGAAUAAGUCACGGCUAACUAGGUGCCAGCAGCCGCGGUAACACCUAGGUGACAAGCGUUAUCCGGAUUUACUGGGCGUA
rnacentral:rRNA from 1 species